GACAGAGGAUGCAAGCGUUAUCCGGAAUGAUUGGGCGUAAAGCGUCUGUAGGUGGCUUUUUAAGUCCGCCGUCAAAUCCCAGGGCUCAACCCUGGACAGGCGGUGGAAACUACCAAGCUGGAGUACGGUAGGGGCAGAGGGAAUUUCCGGUGGAGCGGUGAAAUGCGUAGAGAUCGGAAAGAACACCAACGGCGAAAGCACUUUACUGGGCUAUUACUGACACUGAGAGACGAAAGCUAGGGUAGCAAAUGGGG
rnacentral:rRNA from 1 species